AGUUCGUGAGCUAACGCGAAAGCGAGGCAGCGACCUAAGGUAGGGUCAGCGAUUGGGGUGAAGUCGUAACAAGGUAGCCGUAGGAGAACCUGCGGCUGGAUCACCUCCUUU
rfam:Clostridium chromiireducens strain DSM 23318 CLCHR_contig000178, whole genome shotgun sequence.